UCGGGAUAGCUCAGUUGGUAGAGCAGAGGACUGAAAAUCCUCGUGUAUCGGUUCAUAAACG
rnacentral:tRNA from 1 species